rnacentral:rRNA from 1 species
UACGUAGGGCGCAAGCGUUGUCCGGAAUUAUUGGGCGUAAAGAGCUCGUAGGCGGUCUGUCGCGUCGGAUGUGAAAUCAGGGCUUAACCCUGGACCUGCAUUCGAUACGGGCAGACUAGAGUUCGGUAGGGGAGACUGGAAUUCCUGGUGUAGCGGUGAAAUGCGCAGAUAUCAGGAGGAACACCGGUGGCGAAGGCGGUUCUCUGGGCAGUAACUGACGCUGAGGAGCGAAAGCGUGGGGAGCGAACAGG